rnacentral:rRNA from 1 species
GGAAUAUUGGGCAAUGGAUGCAAGUCUGACCCAGCUAUGCCGCGUGCCGGAUGAAGGCCCUCAGGGUUGUAAACGGCUUUUAUUCGGGAAGAAGAGCAGGGAUGCGUCCUUGUGUGACGGUACCGAAUGAAUAAGCCCCGGCUAACUCCGUGCCAGCAGCCGCGGUAAUACGGAGGGUGCGAGCGUUGUCCGGAUUUAUUGGGUUUAAAGGGUGCGUAGGUGGCUUAAUAAGUCAGUGGUGAAAUACAGCCGCUCAACGGUUGAGGUGCCAUUGAUACUGUUAAGCUUGAAACAAGUGGAGGUUGCCGGAAUGGAUGGUGUAGCGGUGAAAUGCAUAGAUAUCAUCCAGAACACCGAUUGCGAAGGCAGGUGACUACGUUUGAUUUGACACUGAGGCACGAAAGCAUGGGGAGCAAA